rnacentral:sRNA from 1 species
UUUCUCUGCCGUGUGACUGGCGUUUCCUCCCUAAACUCGGGCGGCACCCUUGGGUGCUGCCCGUUUUUUUGUAUCCC